rnacentral:rRNA from 1 species
GACGAACGCUGGCGGCGUGCUUAACACAUGCAAGUCGAACGGAAAGGCCCUGCUUUUGUGGGGUGCUCGAGUGGCGAACGGGUGAGUAACACGUGAGUAACCUGCCCUUGACUUUGGGAUAACUUCAGGAAACUGGGGCUAAUACCGGAUAGGAGCUCCUGCUGCAUGGUGGGGGUUGGAAAGUUUCGGCUGUUGGGGAUGGACUCGCGGCUUAUCAGCUUGUUGGUGGGGUAGUGGCUUACCAAGGCUUUGACGGGUAGCCGGCCUGAGAGGGUGACCGGCCACAUUGGGACUGAGAUACGGCCCAGACUCCUACGGGAGGCAGCAGUGGGGAAUAUUGCACAAUGGGCGGAAGCCUGAUGCAGCAACGCCGCGUGCGGGAUGACGGCCUUCGGGUUGUAAACCGCUUUCGCCUGUGACGAGGCGUGAGUGACGGUAAUGGGUAAAGAAGCACCGGCUAACUACGUG